rnacentral:rRNA from 1 species
AGCGAACGCUGGCGGCAGGCUUAACACAUGCAAGUCGAGCGGGCACUUCGGUGUCAGCGGCAGACGGGUGAGUAACACGUGGGAACGUACCCUUUGGUUCGGAAUAACGCUGGGAAACUAGCGCUAAUACCGGAUACGCCCUUUUGGGGAAAGGCUUGCUGCCGAAGGAUCGGCCCGCGUCUGAUUAGCUAGUUGGUGGGGUAAUGGCCUACCAAGGCGACGAUCAGUAGCUGGUCUGAGAGGAUGAUCAGCCACACUGGGACUGAGACACGGCCCAGACUCCUACGGGAGGCAGCAGUGGGGAAUAUUGGAAAAUGGGCGCAAGCCUGAUCCAGCCAUGCCGCGUGAGUGAUGAAGGCCUUAGGGUUGUAAAGCUCUUUUGUCCGGGACGAUAAUGACGGUACCGGAAGAAUAAGCCCCGGCUAACUUCGUG